rnacentral:lncRNA from 1 species
UGUAAUAGCAUCGAGGACGAUGGGAGUGGGAAUCAGGGAUGAUGAGAGUGAGAAUCGCGGCGAUAGUAGUGAAAAUUGUAACGAUGGAAGUUAGAAUCGCGACGAUGGAAGUAGGAAUCGGCGAUGAUGAGGCAACUAGAGCGUUGAUGGUAAUUUACAAUAAUAAGUUCUAUACUCCGACCGAUUUUUAAGAAAAAUCUUAUUUAUCUUUUUGUAAAUGAUUGUUGUCGGAUUUGAGUAUUCAGAUUUGCGAUAUUGGUGAAGAGAAGAAGAAAUAAAAAAAAUAAAAAAAUAAAAAAGAAAGUGAAUAAGGUGAUG